GGGCAGGGGAGGGGUGUGGUCAGAGUAGGGGCAGGGCAAGGGAGGGGUGUGGUCAGAGUAGGGGCAGGGCAAGGGAGGGGUGUGGUCAGAGUAGGGGCAGGGGCAGGGCAAGGGAGAAUAGUGGUAAGAGUAGAGACAGGGGCAGGGAAGGGAGGGGUGUGGUCAGAGUAGGGACAGGGCAAGGGAGGUGUGUGGUCAGAGUAGGGGCAGGGCAAGGGAGGGUUGUCGUCAGAGUAGGGGCAGGGCAAGGGAGGGUUGUGGUCAGAGUAGGGGCAGGGCAAGGGAGGUGUGUGGUCAGAGUAAGGGCAGGGCAAGGGAGGUGUGUGGUCAGAGUAGGGGCAGGGCAAGGGAGGGGUGUGGUCAGAGUAGGGGCAGGGCAAGGGAGGGGUGUGGUCAGAGUAGGGGCAGGGCAAGGGAGGGGUGUGGUCAGAGUAGGGGCAGGGCAAG
ensembl:lncRNA